AUACUAUUUUCUGAUUGGCUGACACGUUGCUAAUUCAAGACAGUUGUAUGAAUGAGCUACGUAGAGCAGUCUGCUGUCGCAUGGUCGAUUCACCGAUUACUAAUUUAUUUCACAGUUGGAACUUAGGUCCUCAUCCACUCACUGUGGUCUGCUGUCAUCCAUCCACAUCUCUAUCCUCGUUGCCCGCCACACAUGCAGCAAGUGACACCCCAUCAACACUACAAUCAUUUAUCUGGACUUCCAAAGCACAGGAGGGUGUUGUACUAUACAUUGGAAUUGCUUCAUGACUGGUACAGGGAGAAGGGUGACUACAGUCAGCGUAUCGUUGAUCUCGGGCACUAAUAGUGGGCAUAUCUUCUCUGCAAUGGGGUGAAGAGGUCAGCACUAAACCCUCUGAGACUCAUCAUGACGGGGGACAAUGCGAGGGAAGACGGUCGCUGGAGAAUAACAGCUCUUUAAUGUCAGAGGGUCCUAAGCUGAAUGGAUCUGCCUGAAAACUAGUGGAUGACUGCGAAACCCCUCUGGGGUUAAAGGAGCAUGGAGAGCAGACAGAUGCACGGCAGCGGUGACAGCAGCUGAGAGACACAAUGCUGAGAUUGCUCAUAUUGAUUUGAUUAUUAACAUCCAGUGUGUUUGAAUGUGCACGAGUGGAUGUGUGCAAGCAUGCGCCGCGUGACGCAUGCCGGUAUCGACGCCAUCAGACGCUCGCUGUGGUAUGUGCCGCACAUGAGCUCUCCAUGAGCAGCUGUAAUUAGCUGCAGAGCCACUGGAGGACAUGCUGAUGCAUCCAUUUCCUUUUCUUUUUUUUAUAGUGUCUUGUAAAAGUCAUCUUCAUGCUAAUGAAGCUUCGCCUCUGCUGGGUGCGUGGUGGAGUGUGCUUUUGCAUGUGAAGGUGUAAAGCGGGUGCAUAUUUGGGAUGGGCCCGCACACUCUUACCUCUGGGAUGAACUAUGUGAGGUGAUAAACAGAAGGGGAAAAAAAUCUCAGGCGAUGCUAAAUGCUAAUAUGUAUUCCAGGUGUGUCGCUCUGAUCUCUUAAAGUGCAAUUUUGCAUUUGAAAGCAGAUUGCAUGUCUGCACAACCCCUGAGCAAUUAGAAGGCAAGUGUCAACAGCCAACCUUGGCCAAGUUUUAAUACUCUUUUGGCCGUCGCCAGCCCUUGAACUAACAACAUCACUUCUUGAGUUCUCUGAGAGAGCUGAGUGAAUGUAUGGCUUGGCUCCCACAUACAGCCUCAUAGUGAUGCCUACCAUCAAAAAGUUAUUACUCCGUAGCUCCUUCGUUUAUGAGAGUGAAACUGAAUGAAAUGAGAGCAAUACGUAUUCAUUAUUAUUCAUAACUAUUCACCUGGUCCACAGAAUGAACCAGAAAUAACUAAAUCCGGUGUAGACCUUUAUCUGAUUUCAACCUCUACUUAAAACAACAUUAACAGAGCAUGUACGUACGUUGUUUAACAUGUGUGAUUUAUUUCGCCGUGGAGAGUGGAGCAGAUAAGCCGAAGAAAGUGUUGCAUUUUUUUUUUAUGUCCUAAACACAUUUGGCAUGCAGGUUGUGAGCAUCAUGUUUGGAAAAAUCUGGCAGGGAGAACAACCCCUCCUCCAAAGUCCUGGAAGCAGUGGGCCCUCAUAAACUUCUGAGUAACGUGGCCGGGUGAUCACAUGACUACACGAGCGUCCUGGCCUCCGAGUAUGGAGGACUCACUCUUUCCAAACUCCAGUGGAAAACUACAGCUGCUACUGUAUUCCCUUCAUCGCUCUCCACAACUUUUUGGUCUCUCCUUUCUUGUGUGUGUAUGUGUGUGUGUCUUUGUGUCUCUCCCCCCCUUCUCUUUCUCAUUAGCCUGUGUCAGCAUAAUUCCACAGACCCAUACCCCUUCCCUGCCUCCCGAACCUUUAUUCUGGAUGGAAAGACUGAGAGGAAGGAAAGAGGGGAAAAUAAAGUGCUGUUGUUGGAAUAUGUGUCACUUGGCCAAAUAAGCUCCACAUGGUUGUCAUCAUGACGCAGGAUGUGGCAGACGUACUCCCUAUUCAUCUUCCUCGAGCCUCCUUCCCCAUCUCCCUCAGUGACCGUCCUUCGCUCUUCUCUUUAUGGUUUCCAUUCCUUCUUUUUAUUGUGCUCUAUUUUGUGCUUCCUCCCUAAUGUCACAAGCGGCAAAUUAGACUUUAGUAACGUAUCACGAUGGCCUGCUCCAGUCUUAAAUCGGAAGUGCAUGGCGACGUUGUAAGUUCAGUUGUUGCAGCGUUGGGAGCGUUUCAGCUCACUGCCUGGUAGUUUUAGUUUAUUCCGUGGCUUAUUGCAGCAAUAAUGCAGACCGGGGAAACUGAGGAGCUCGACACACACACCCACACACACAUACAUACUGUUUUAUUCAUGCUAAGCUAAAGCCUUGGUUAUAUUAUCGGUCAGCGAGAGACAGUGUUGGGUAUUAAGCAAUUUAGUGGCACACAACAGCGUGCUGAAGCUUUUAAUGACAAUCUAAACAGGAGUCCCUCGCACUAAUUCACUGGCGCGUGUUCGGUUAGGUUGUAUUUUGCGUGACUACCCAUUUACAAGCAUUUGUGGCUACGUCUUCCCUUAUUGAUUGACUGAUUUAUUUCGGCACUCAUGCUUGAAAUAGUAUCCCCUCCUUCAUCUGCACUGAAGUUGUGGGGAGUCACUUGGUGCACUGGCUCCAUCUUCUCCUCGGUGUGUUUUUGUGCGCGCGCGUAUGUGUAUCAGACAUUUACAAUGUAUGUGAAUGGGUUCACUGAUUCAACUCAAAGGUGAAAAAGAAAGACAAAGUACACCUCUCUCUCUCAUAUUAUACUCUUUUUUUUCUGUCUUCCCAUGCAUCUCAUCUACUCCCCUUCUUUUACUGCUCCUGUGCCAUCCCUCAUCCUCUUAGGGGAGCACGGGAGCAUGCAGUGGAAAUAACUGAACCAAUAAAGACACUGCCAGGAUCCAUCCACUCUCUGCUCCUCACAUAGUUACUGAGGGAAGGAAGGAGUAAUGAGAGAUCCUGAAGAGGGCAAGAGUGGAGGGAUACAAGGGAGAAGUCCACCGUUAAUGUGUCUACGGCCAUGGAUGAGGGAGGUAACGGUGGUAGGGUGCAGAAGGUGCGGACUAGAAUGAAGAUGGCGAGUCGAAUGGUGGAUGCACAUAAAUUUACACAGCCGUAUGGACCCCAGCUUGCUUGUAUGCCUCAUUCUCAUUCGGUACAUGUGACAGACAGUGGCCAGUCAUGGUGUGUACUCUGGAGGGUUGUCCAACACGUGCAAAAACUUGAAACUCCCCCGGAACACACUGCCUGUGCUGUGACAUGUCUUUUAGCAGCAGAAAGCUCAGCUGUAAAGCCACAUCUCCAAUAAGUUCCUUCUGCUCAUUUUUAAUUAAAGACGCCGAAGGAAGCUUAAAUGUAGAAGAUCGGCUCAAUAUGGAGCACGU